GAUCCUCUGCAGUGUUCGAGGUGCUUUUCAAUAACCGCUCUCGGCCUUUGAGUCAUUACGGGAGCCAAAACCGCCGUGGAAGAUGCUAGGCCGCACACCGGAAAGCAGACGCCGCGUAGGAGGCGCCCACCUUAACAUAAAAAGGACUAGAGCCUUUGGGCAUACGGCACAGGUGGAGGAUCA
rnacentral:other from 1 species